ensembl:lncRNA
UCUGUAUCAGUGUGUGUGUCUUUCUCACACACACAUUCCCUCUUCCUCUGCUGCUGCUUAUCCUUUCUCUGGCGUGUGCUCACACACACAUGCACACUUUAUUGUGUUUGUCUCAGGCUUCACGUGCCUGUGCUUUUAUUGCUCAGUACCGUACGGAUUGCUCUGAUAAUGAAUGCCUCUUUUGGCAUCGGAUCUAAAGCUGGAGUGUGGACUGACCCUAACGCUGGCUCCCUUGGCCUGAUAGUCUCUGACCUUGAUCAGGGGCAAGGCUCCCUUUGAAUGUUCCCAGGAGCAGUUCUUGAAUCUUUGUUUUCAUUUUAUACCCAGUUAAUUCCUUUCUUUGUUCCUUCCAGACUCUGUCCCUUCCCUGCCCCCCUCUCUCUCUCUCUCUCUCUCUCUCUCUCUCUCUCUAUCUCUCUCUUCCUGCUUCCAAAAUACUGCAUAUCACUGAAAUAUGUUAGAAUAGUCAGGUGAAAACCCAAACUAGCAGGAGUGUGAUAAACACACUGCCUAGAGGCCCGCAUAACACAUGCAUCUGGACCGGCUCUGCUUACUCCAGAACAGUUCUGGGCCUGAGCAGGAAAAUGCCCGCUCCACAGUCAACUGUUGUCUGCAAGCAGUGGUGAUUUACUCUUGAAAAGAAGCACACAUUACUUACCAACAUGUUCAAUUGCACCAGUAACAGAGGGUUCAGUCUGUCCGGUGCACACCGCCCAUGAUGGAGCUCAGUCUCUCCAGUGCACACCGCCCAUGAUGGAGGGGUUCAGUCUUGUUGGACUUUGUGUCAGAUUGAGAGCAUUUAGCUUUUGAGUGUGACAUUUCCAGGAACACAAGGCAGCACUCGUACAAGAUGUCCAGGUAUGCUAGCCUUUUGGCUGGAGCCUAUCACAGUGAGUUAGUUUGGGAUAACCAGGAUGAAAUCAACACUUGGCGUGGGACCAGUCCCUAUUUCAGGCGUGGAAAGAGUCACAAAAAACACACUAUUAUGAGCAUGCAGUAUACUAGAUCAGGGAGGUAAACACACUAUUAUGAGCAUGCAGUAUAGAUCAGGGAGGUUAACACACUAUUAUGAGCAUGCAGUAUAGAUCAGGGAGGUAAACAUUUCUUUAAAACACAUUCACUCUAAACAUGGCCAGUAUCUGUAUGAUGCAAUAUGGGUCACAAGCCACCUAUCUUUGAGGAACUAACAUAUGGGAGGCGGACUUCCUGUGCAUUUGCCCAUGGCAUAUCUAUGCAUGCUACAUGCUACAUGCUACCAAUCUACUGUUGCCUUUCAAAUGUAGGGCAAAAUCAUCAUGUUUUGGAAAUGAAUGCUUUGUGUACAUUUACAUUUAGUCAUUUAGCAGACGCUUUUAUCCAAAGCGACUUACAUAUGUGCGACUUACAAGGAUGUAUACACAUUUCACAUUUACACUGAUGGCACACUGCACAUCAGGAGCAAUUAGGGGUUAGGCAAUUAGGGAAUCGAACUAGCAACCUUCUGAUUACUAAACGACUUCUCUACCACUGUACCACUGUCGCCCCACUUUAUGUAUGAAUGAACGUUGUGAGGCCUUGUGACUAACCCCAAAACCUCUUGAACCCUUAGGCUAAGCUGACCACUAGGGUCAGCUCAUGAGUGUGUUUACCUUUACCGUCAUUUGAAUGAAUGAGGUGGUUAAGUCGUUCUUGUCACAUGCUGGAGUUUUUGAAUGCAGUUACAGAAAUUGUGCUUCAUUUUAAGACUACAGGACUGGGUUUCAGGGGGAGAAAACCCCCAGGGUAGGAGAAAGAAGAGGUGCAUGUUACUCAUGUCAAACUAUAGGUCCUGUUAUGGUGCCCCUGCACAUCUCUUAGUGUGGUGUGUGUGUGUGGGUGUGUGGGUGUGUGUGGGUGUGUGGGUGUGUGUGUGUGUGU